CGCCUUCGGGCUCAUUUGGAAACUCCCCUUCUCGGAAACCCCCUCCUGAAGUCGCCCCCCCCCCCCCCCCCCCCCGCCUCCGGAGUCACCUUCCCUACUCAGAACCAAUCAAGUGACAGGAGAAAGAAGGGCUCCCCCCGCGAGCCGCCCCGUGCAGCACCGCCACGAGGGUCUCGGGCUUUCUCCCGGCUUCGGCGGCGGAGCCCACGAACACGUCCCCGCCGGGAUCCCUCGCGGGAAGGCUCACCAGGCCUUGACAUUGCCCUUUACAGGAGGAGCGGAGCCAAGAGCCCCCCGCUCCGCCUCCCCUGGAGGAACGUGGGGGCCUCGGCGCUCACAGGCGCUCACAGGCGCUCCUCACAGGCCCUCCUCACAGGCCCUCCUCACAGGUGCUCACAGGCGCUCCUCACAGGCCCUCCUCACAGGUGCUCACAGGCCCUCCUCACAGGCCCUCCUCACAGGCCCUCCUCACAGGCGCUCACAGGCGCUCCUCACAGGCCCUCCUCACAGGCUGCUCACAGGCCCUCCUCACAGGCCCUCCUCACAGGCCCUCCUCACAGGUGCUCACAGGCGCUCACAGGCGCUCCUCACAGGCCCUCCUCACAGGUGCUCACAGGUCCUCCUCACAGGCCCUCCUCACAGGCCCUCCUCACAGGUGCUCACAGGCCCUCCUCACAGGCGCUCCUCCCAGGCGCUCCUCCCAGGCCCUCCUCACAGGCGCUCCUCACAGGCGCUCCUCACAGGCGCUCCUCACAGGCCCUCCUCACAGGCCCUCCUCACAGGUGCUCACAGGCGCUCCUCACAGGCCCUCCUCACAGGUGCUCCUCACAGGCGCUCCUCACAGGCCCUCCUCACAGGUGCUCCUCACAGGCCCUCCUCACAGGCCCUCCUCACAGGCGCUCCUCCCAGGCCCUCCUCACAGGCCCGGAGCCUGCCCCUCCUCGGGCAAGUGGAGCUGGAGAGAGGAAGCUAAGCCGGAGAGGAAAGCCGUUUUCCAUUGUGGGCUCAGGUGAGUUUAGGUGCUACCUGGCUGCCCCAAGUGCCCGCCCCCCGGGUCGGGAUAGCCUGAGGGUGACGGCCUCGCCCACCCAGAGCCCCCGAGGCACAGGGGAGGCGCCCCCUGGGAGCUGGGGCCCUGCCCCUACCUGCUGGGUGAAAGAUCCGCUUUGGGGCGACGGGGACGGGCGGGGUGGGGGGCGGGAGCGAGCGGCUGCGCCAGCGCCGGUCCCAAGGGCUGGCUGGAGCCUUCGUCACAACACGCAGUGUUUGCCCUGGAAGCGAUGA
rnacentral:lncRNA from 1 species